rnacentral:lncRNA from 1 species
AUUUUUUUUUAUACAAUCCAAAUUAAAUUAGGACAAGCCCUUCUAUAAAUACGAUUGUAGUCUGCUAUUUUCUUCGUCUCCUCCUUUCUCGCUCCUGCUCUCGUGUUGUUUUCUUCAUCAUGAUCAAACUGUUUCCUGCAUCACCAUCAAUUUCUUCUCAGGUUUUUUCUGCUAUAAUUUCUUUCAACAAUUCACCUUUUCACUUACGUUAAACACAAUAUUAAUUGCUAUGCCAGCUUAUAAGCUAUUUUGUUUUCGUUUGUUUGUUUGUGGUUUACUGUUCACUUACCAUUGCUUACAUUCUUAGUUCAUUUACUUUUUCUGUUCCUGUUUGCAUCUAUUUAGUAUCUCUUGUUUCUUCUCCUACUAUUUUGUUAAUCUACCAACAAGAUUCACAUAUUCAGGUAAAAUUAUCUUAUCUCAUAUAAUACAUUUAAUUAUAUAAUCAUUUGUUACUGUUAUCAUAACUUUGAUUCUUAAGAAUAUUAGUGCAAUGGACUCAAAUAUCGAAUCAGCAGACUCAAUGACUGAAUCAGCGGACUCAAUAACAAUAGUUACCGAAUUAACUUAUUCAAUUACCGAAGUGGUGCCUGUUAACAUAGUGAAACUCAAUGAUCGCACCUCUAUAAUAAAGAUCUUGGUUAUAGUAUGUCAAGCAACAAAAGAAUUUACUCGAUCAACGAGUGGUACUCGAAAAACUUUCACAUUCGUCGAUGAAGAGGUACUUAAUUCAUCAACCACUCCACUUAUUUAUGGAUAAUGUUCUUCUACUGUUCGACUUAUCAAGAACCAGCUAUAUUAUCAAAUCAAGUGUUGUCGUUUCUGGUUACUUAAGGAAUUCUCAACAAUAAAUGACCCGAAGAGAAAAUUUUCUUUUAUACUGUAUCAAGUUUAAAGAGGCAAAUAAGGGUAUGAGGAAGAGCCUUUCGUGCCUUAAGACUUCUUUCUAUAGCCUUCCUUAGUGUUGUGGACCCAAAGGAUGCUUGAAAUUUGCUCAAAUAUAAAGAAAAAAUUCAAAACAAACCAACAAAAAUCGGGGAGAGGGAAAAACAAUCCAUUAUCAAUCAAGCAAUUAUGCUCAUUGAGAGCUUUUGGUAGUGUAAUCCAAAACAGUAAAGAAAACCAUCAAUAGUGGAUAUCUGGUCCCUAUAUCUCUAUUUUCAAGUUCACUAAUGUUUCUUUAUUUUUUUUAUGAAAAGCAACAAUGAUUGCAACUUAAUUAUACAAGAAAAAUAAACAUAAGAAGACAUAAACACUACGUAAAAACAUAAAAGGAAAUGUGUUUAAAGUAGAAUUUUCAAGUGUGUAAUACCUACCUAUUCUUUGUUAAUUUUCUAUUUGUCUUGAGUCUCUUGGCUUCUUGGACGAAUCCCAGUAUUACCUGCAACUCGUCCAAUUACUUCACUCGGAAAAAAAAAUGACAAAUGCAGCAGUCAGUAGAGUGUAUAAUUUGGAAAACCAGGAGCAUAAUAUGACAUAAGCAUAGGACCAACAAAGUGUUUACAUGUAUCAAGAACGAUAAUGUGGAAGAACAUUAUGCCAAAAUUGACUAAUCACUUUAGAUGGCAUACUUAAUAGAAGUUGACACAAUACAAGCACCAGAUUUCUUAUACUAAGAAUAUGGUGAAACAUGAAAAGAAAACUAUGAACAGAAGUACAGAAAGAUACCUAAAACUUAUGUUUUAUGGAAGUGCCAGGAAAUUAUCAAGCGCGAUGAACAUCACAUUAGAAUAGAUCAAAUAAAGAACACACAGCAGCAGCAACAUGCAGAUAUUAAGAAUAUACCUGGGAUGUGAAGUGUCUUUGGACAACAUCAAUU